rnacentral:rRNA from 1 species
UACAGAGGGUCCAAGCGUUGCGCGGAAUCACUGGGCUUAAAGCGUGCGUAGGCGGGAGCGUAAGUGUCUUGUGAAAUCCCACGGCUCAACCGUGGAACUGCUGGGCGUACUGCGCUUCUUGAGGCCGACAGGGGAUGCCGGAACUGUAGGUGUAGCGGUGAAAUGCGUAGAUAUCUACAGGAACGCCGAAGGUGAAGACAGGCAUCUGGGUCGGUACUGACGCUGAGGCACGAAAGCGUGGGGAUCAAACAGG